GACGAACGCUGGCGGCGUGCCUAACACAUGCAAGUCGAACGGAGUUGUUCCUUCGGGGACAGCUUAGUGGCGAACGGGUGAGUAACGCGUGAGAAACCUGCCUUUCAGUGGGGGACAACAGUUGGAAACGACUGCUAAUACCGCAUAAUGUAUCGAUGGGGCAUCCUGUUGAUACCAAAGAUUUAUUGCUGAAAGAUGGUCUCGCGUCUGAUUAGCUAGUUGGUGAGGUAACGGCUCACCAAGGCGACGAUCAGUAGCCGGUCUGAGAGGAUGAACGGCCACAUUGGGACUGAGAUACGGCCCAGACUCCUACGGGAGGCAGCAGUAGGGAAUAUUGGGCAAUGGGCGAAAGCCUGACCCAGCAACGCCGCGUGAAGGAAGAAGGCCUUCGGGUUGUAAACUUCUUUUACCAGGGACGAAUUUUGACGGUACCUGGAGAAAAAGCAACGGCUAACUACGUGCCAGCCGCCGCCGUAACAC
rnacentral:rRNA from 1 species